CCUACGGGUGGCAGCAGUGAGGAAUAUUGGUCAAUGGGCGCGAGCCUGAUCCAGCCAAGCAGCGUGAAGGAUGACUGCCCUACGGGUUGUAAACUCCUUUUAUAAAGGAAUAAAGUGAGGCACGUGUGCCUGUUUGUAUGUACUUUACGAAUAAGGAUCGGCUAACUCCGUGCCAGCAGCCGCGGUAAUACGGAGGAUCCGAGCGUUAUCCGGAUUUAUUGGGUGUAAAGGGAGCGUAGAUGGGUUGUUAAGUCAGUUGUGAAAGUUUGUGGCUCAACCGUAAAAUUGCAAUUGAUACUGGCAGCCUUGAGUACAGUUGAGGUAGGCGGAAUUCGUGGUGUAGCGGUGAAAUGCUUAGAUAUCACGAAGAACUCCGGUUGCGAAGGCAGCUUACUAGACUGCCACUGACAUUGAGGCUCGAAAGUGUGGGUAUCAAACAGGAUUAGAUACCCUGGUAGUC
rnacentral:rRNA from 1 species